UUUGGAGAGAGUUUGAUCCUGGCCUCAGGAUGAACGCUGGCGGCGUGCCUAAUACAUGCAAGUCGAGCGAACAGACGAGGAGCUUGCUCCUUUGACGUUAGCGGCGGACGGGUGAGUAACACGUAGGUAACCUACCUAUAAGACUGGGAUAACUUCGGGAAACCGGAGCUAAUACCGGAUAAUAUUUCGAACCGCAUGGUUCGAUAGUGAAAGAUGGCUUUGCUAUCACUUAUAGAUGGACCUGCGCCGUAUUAGCUAGUUGGUAAGGUAACGGCUUACCAAGGCAACGAUACGUAGCCGACCUGAGAGGGUGAUCGGCCACACUGGAACUGAGACACGGUCCAGACUCCUACGGGAGGCAGCAGUAGGGAAUCUUCCGCAAUGGGCGAAAGCCUGACGGAGCAACGCCGCGUGAGUGAUGAAGGUCUUCGGAUCGUAAAACUCUGUUAUUAGGGAAGAACAAACGUGUAAGUAACUGUGCACGUCUUGAC
rnacentral:rRNA from 1 species